GAUGAACGCUGGCGGCAUGCCUAAUACAUGCAAGUCGAACGAGAGGAAGGAAAACUUGCUUUUCUGAAUCUAGUGGCGAACGGGUGAGUAACACGUAGGUAACCUGCCCAUGUGCCCGGGAUAACUUCUGGAAACGGAUGCUAAAACCGGAUAGGUAACAGACAAGCAUUUGACUGCUAUUAAAGUGGCUAAGGCCAUGAACAUGGAUGGACCUGCGGUGCAUUAGCUGGUUGGUGAGGUAACGGCGCACCAAGGCGACGAUGCCUAGCCGGCCUGAGAGGGCGGACGGACACAUUGGGACUGAGACACGGCCCAAACUCCGACGGGAGGCAGCAGUAGGGAAUUUUCGUCAAUGGGGGGAGCCCUGAACGAGCAAUGCCGCGUGAGUGAGGAAGGUCUUCGGGUCGUAAAGCUCUGUUGUAAGAGAAAAACGACAUUCAUAGGGAAUGAUGAGUGAGUGAUGGUAUCUUACCAGAAAGUCACGGCUAACUACGUGCCAGCCGCCGCCGUAA
rnacentral:rRNA from 1 species